CGCAGUUCGAAUCAACCCUCGGUGUUCAUUGAAGUGCUGCCAGCGACACAAGAGCUGAUGGAAGGACGUCUGAUCAUCGCAGUGUGUCCUUAUUGGAACACAGCUCAGCAAGUCACACUCUGGAUUCUGGGACACAUAGGUUAAUCUUAAAAUAUCUUUCAUCUGACCUGGCAAAAAAUGGAAAUGGCUUAAAGGAAAUUGAGAGAGAAUUGGAUCGGGCAAAGCGUCGACCCAGCGGUUCCGCUCGUCCAUUCUCUCCUCCAGUCUGUCCCAUUAUUGAUUAUCUGACAAGACGAAAAGCACUCCAUCCUCCCUGGUUUCUUCCUCCUUCUAAUCUAACAAGCAACCUCAGCAUCUACCGUACAUCACUGCCCCUCUUUUUUCAAGUCAUAUAAGGAAACGUUCUUAUGGAAUUGCUUUUUACUAUGCGGCUUUGCCAAGUCUUUCCAGUGCCAAGAAGAUCAUUUGAUGAUCACUGUACAGUCCAACAAAAGACAAAUUCCUGACGCACUAGUUAGUUUAUGUCUCGGUGUUACGUGUGAGAGUGGAAGUGGGGUGCCAUCUUGUGGCAGAAAGUGCGCAUGACAUGCCUUAAAUGCAGAUGCUCAAAUGUAUUUUAAUUUUCUUAAAUUAAUUUUCUUAAAAUUUUAUCGUUGAUUGCAGGGAAUUCGAUUGACAUUUUCUAGGAAAGUUUCCAUUAUUGCAACCUUUCCAGUUUAUCUCUGAUGCGUCCGUCUAUUUUAAUGCAAUGUCACCUAGCGAUAAAAGUCAUAUAAAAGCUUUUUCUCUUAUCAAAGUUAUGACCUAACUUCCAUUAGGAAGCUCAUAAAUUGAAUGCCUCUGCCAACUUGUCUUUUUUCUGUACGUCUUUAUCUGAGUUGCUUCUUUUGCAACAAAAACACUUGAUUUAUUCCCAGGGGAUCAAUGAAGUGCUAUUUUUAAGCAAUGACGGUCCAGCAACUAAGAAAAGUAGCUGACGUCAAUGGAUGGCUGCAAGAUAAAAGAUAAUGCUGAGGCUGCUUUAAUGUCCAAGCUCAAACUUUUUGAAUUUGGACAAUCUAAUUUGAA